CUAGGCAGCAGCUGUGAGUGUCCUUUUCACAGCUGAUACAUUGUUCAUCUUCCCACCCCACCUCCAAUGGAAUGUGCUGAGAGGUAAGAGUUCCAUUUUGCCUUACUGGAGACAUUUCAUAUACCCACAUAGCCGGCUAUGUUUUCCUGUAAAGCUGUGGCCAGCUUGGUAGUGCACACACUUGAAUUUGUUUCCUCCUGUGCUUUUUUCCCUCAUUUUUGCUUCACCAGAUAGGAAGGUAAACUUUGUUCUACCCUAAUUGUAGGCAUCUAGGCGAAGAUGAAAGCCGUCCCUUGGGAUAGGACUUUGUCUGGAGGUGACAUGGAGGACAAAUGGAGUAGUAACAGUUACUAAAGCUUUCAUCUAAUGAUCAUUGAAGUGCUGUCAGUGGAAAGCAGGGCAUCAGGAGACAAUGUGGCUUCUGUUCUUGAUUGAGAAGAUGAAAAUUGAAAAUCAGGCCCAGUAUCCGAUUACCAGCAUGGCAGAAUUGCAAAGGAAACUAAAUGUGCACCGUAGAUCUUUCAUAAUGAAGUUGAGACCUGAUAUAAAGAAACUCUAUUGGUCAGCAAAAGGAGUCCCCUUACCACCUGCCGGAGGAGAACAAACCCCCCUUGCCUGGAGAUUGUACAAAGACUUCACCUGAAACAUGUCUCUCUCAAUACGAAUCUUUUUUUUUUUUCAAAUGG